AAAUCAACGGCGAAGAUCACUCCAUGCCUCUCUAUCCUAUAAAAUCCAACCUUCCGGAAUCAAAUCUCCUCCCCUCAUUUGUUUUCGGCAAUCUCCUCUCUUUAUUCUCCGCUGCGUCAGAUACAAGCAGUAGCAGAGUCGUUGGAGCCAUUUCUAGGGUUUUGAAAUCUCGCAGAGGGAUUCCAGAUCUGGGCCUCCAAUCGACCUGCAUUCUCCCAGUGACAUAAGAAGGCACCAAGAUGGUUGCACAGACAUUUACAGUGGACUUGAAUAAGCCUCUUGUGUUCCAGGUUGGCCAUCUUGGAGAAGCAUACCAGGAAUGGGUUCACCAGCCUAUUGUCAGCAAGGAAGGCCCACGCUUUUUUGCAAGCAACUUCUGGGAGUUCUUGACGCGUACUGUAUGGUGGGUGAUCCCACUUAUCUGGUUGCCGGUUGUAUGUUGGUUCGUGUCUGCAUCUAUCCGAAUGGGCUGCACAUUUCCUGAGGUAGUCCCAUUGGUGUUUAUUGGGAUACUUGUGUGGACAUUAAUGGAGUACACUUUGCAUCGCUUCCUUUUUCACAUCAAAACAAAAAGUUAUUGGGGAAAUACUGCUCAUUAUCUUCUUCAUGGCUGCCAUCACAAGCACCCUAUGGAUGGAUUGCGCCUUGUUUUUCCUCCUGCUGCUACAGCCAUUCUAUUGGUGCCUGUCUGGUUUCUGGUUAAACUGAUUUCAACUCCUUCAACUGCUCCUGCUGUGUUUGGAGGUGGCUUGUUGGGUUAUGUGAUGUAUGAUGUUACUCACUAUUAUUUGCACCAUGGUCAGCCAUCUAGCAAAGUUCCUCGAGAUUUAAAGCGGUAUCAUCUAAAUCAUCACUUCAGAAUUCAGAACAAAGGGUUCGGUAUCACAUCAUCUCUCUGGGACAAGGUGUUCGGGACAUUGCCCCCUACAAAAACUGCUUAAAAGAACCAAUGAUCCAGAUCUGCCGAUUGCCAUUGGUGAUUCUUGGGUGGGGUCGUCAUCGAGGGGAGUUAGUUGAUACUCUGGCAGAGCAUCAUAAGCAGGCACUCAGAAAUUGUACACGUGGCAUAUGUUAGCUCAAAUUAUACCUGACAAAAUCGUGGAGCCCACUGCCACUGACAGCCCCAAAGUCAGAUUGGCUGAGCAACUGUGAGUAUGUAACCUCUGAUUCCUGGACACUUAUUGGAUAUUUUUCAGUUUUAACCCGUCUGAUAAAUGUCCACCAAUCCAAUGGUUGGAUAACUAAAUAAGGGUAAAUUUUUGUUCAUAAUGCAUCUAAGUUGGGAGCCAUGAUUUGGACAGUUUAACUUAAAUUACUCGUA